UCUGUGAAAUUCCGGGGCUUAACUUCGGGGUGGCAGGCGAUACGGGCAUAACUAGAGUGCUGUAGGGGAGACUGGAAUUCCUGGUGUAGCGGUGGAAUGCGCAGAUAUCAGGAGGAACACCGAUGGCGAAGGCAGGUCUCUGGGCAGUAACUGACGCUGAGGAGCGAAAGCAUGGGGAGCGAACAGGAUUAGAUACCCUGGUAGUCCAUGCUGUAAACGGUGGGCGUUAGGUGUGGGGACCGGUUUGGUUUCUGUGCCGUAGCUAACGCAUUAAGCGCCCCGCCUGGGGAGUACGGCCGCAAGGCUAAAACUCAAAGGAAUUGACGGGGGCCCGCACAAGCGGCGGAGCAUGUGGAUUAAUUCGAUGCAACGCGAAGAACCUUACCUGGGUUUGACAUGCACCAGACGGUUGUAGAGAUACGUACCUCCCUUUGUGGUUGGUGUGCAGGUGGUGCAUGGUUGUCGUCAGCUCGUGUCGUGAGAUGUUGGGUUAAGUCCCGCAACGAGCGCAACCCUUGUCUUAUGUUGCCAGCACUUUGGGUGGGGACUCAUGAGAGACUGCCGGGGUUAACUCGGAGGAAGGUGGGGAUGACGUCAAAUCAUCAUGCCCUUUAUGCCCAGGGCUUCACACAUGCUACAAUGGUUAGUACAACGCGCUGCGAACCUGUGAGGGUGAGCGAAUCGCUGAAAGCUAAUCUCAGUUCGGAUUGGGGUCUGCAACUCGACCCCAUGAAGUCGGAGUCGCUAGUAAUCGCAGAUCAGCAAUGCUGCGGUGAAUACGUUCCCGGGCCUUGUACACACCGCCCGUCACGUCAUGAAAGUUGGUAACACCCGAAGCCCAUGGCCUAACCACCGUUUGGUGGGG
rnacentral:rRNA from 1 species